rnacentral:rRNA from 1 species
ACGAACGCUGGCGGCUUGCUUAACACAUGCAAGUCGCACGGAAAGGCCCUGCUUUUGUGGGGUGCUCGCGUGGCGAACGGGUGAGUAACACGUGAGUAACCUGCCCUUGACUUUGGGAUAACUUCAGGAAACUGGGGCUAAUACCGGAUAGGAGCUCCUGCUGCAUGGUGGGGGUUGGAAAGUUUCGGCGGUUGGGGAUGGACUCGCGGCUUAUCAGCUUGUUGGUGGGGUAGUGGCUUACCAAGGCUUUGACGGGUAGCCGGCCUGAGAGGGUGACCGGCCACAUUGGGACUGAGAUACGGCCCAGACUCCUACUGGAGGCAGCAGUGGGGAAUAUUGCACAAUGGGCGGAAGCCUGAUGCAGCAACGCCGCGUGCGGGAUGACGGCCUUCGGGUUGUAAACCGCUUUCGCCUGUGACGAAGCGUGAGUGACGGUAAUGGGUAAAGAAGCACCGGCUAACUACGUG